rnacentral:rRNA from 1 species
AUUGAACGCUGGCGGCAGGCCUAACACAUGCAAGUCGAGCGAGCGGCGGACGGGUGAGUAAUGUAUGGGGACUGCCCGAUAGCGGGGGAUAACUACUGGAAACGGUAGCUACUACCGCAUACUAUCGGAUAACCCAUAUGGGAUUAGCUAGUAGGUGAGGUAAUGUCUCACCUAGGCAACGAUCCCUAGCUGGUCUGAGAGGAUGAUCAGCAAAACUGGACCUGGGACAGGGCCCAGACUCCUACGGAGGAAGCAGGGGGGAUUAUUGCACAAUGGGCGCAAGCCUGAUGCAGCCAUGCGGCGUGUAGGAAGAAGGCCCUAGGGUUGUAAAGUACUUUCAGUCGGGAGGCGUUACCGACAGAAGAAGCACCGGCUAACUCCGUGCCAGCAGCCGCGGUAAUAC